rnacentral:rRNA from 1 species
CAGCCGUAAACAAUGUGCGUUAGGUGUGUCGGUAACCACGCGUUACUGAUGCGCCGAAGAGAAAUCGUGAAACGCACCACCUGGGAAGUACGGUCGCAAGGCUGAAACUUAAAGGAAUUGGCGGGGGAGCACCACAACAGGUGGAGCCUGCGGUUUAAUUGGAUUCAACGCCGGGAAGCUCACCGGAUAGGACAGCAGAAUGAUUGCCGGGCUGAAGACCCUGCAUGACUAGCUGAGAGGUGGUGCAUGGCGUCAGUGACU